CCUACGGGUGGCAGGCGACGGAUUUUUCAUACUCCCGAAUACAAUCUGCAAUUAUCUCUCCGAUGAAAUCCGGACACCAAAGAUACCGACUGACAGUAAGGAAUUUGCUGAUGCUGAAAAAGCCGCUGUCGAAAGACUGAAGAGACUUCUGGCUAUAAACGGAAAACAGACGGCAUCAUCGUUCCAUCAACGUCUUGGAAAAAUAAUGUGGGACCAUUGCGGGAUGUCGCGCAAUGAGGAAGGAUUAAAAAAAGCCCUGGUCCUUAUUGAAGAACUGAAAAAGGAAUUCUGGAGCUA
rnacentral:rRNA from 1 species